UACGGAGGGGGCUAGCGUCGUUCGGAAUUACUGGGCGUAAAGCGCACGUAGGCGGCUUUGUAAGUUAGAGGUGAAAGCCCGGGGCUCAACUCCGGAAUUGCCUUUAAGACUGCAUCGCUAGAAUUGUGGAGAGGUAAGUGGAAUUCCGAGUGUAGAGGUGAAAUUCGUAGAUAUUCGGAAGAACACCAGUGGCGAAGGCGACUUACUGGACACAUAUUGACGCUGAGGUGCGAAAGCGUGGGGAGCAGACAGG
rnacentral:rRNA from 1 species